GAUGAACGCUGGCGGCGUGCCUAAUACAUGCAAGUCGAGCGAACAGACGAGGAGCUUGCUCCUCUGACGUUAGCGGCGGACGGGUGAGUAACACGUGGAUAACCUACCUAUAAGACUGGGAUAACUUCGGGAAACCGGAGCUAAUACCGGAUAAUAUAUUGAACCGCAUGGUUCAAUAGUGAAAGACGGUUUUGCUGUCACUUAUAGAUGGAUCCGCGCCGCAUUAACUAGUUGGUAAGGUAACGGCUUACCAAGGCAACGAUGCGUAGCCGACCUGAGAGGGUGAUCGGCCACACUGGAACUGAGACACGGUCCAGACUCCUACGGGAAGCAGCAGUAGGGAAUCUUCCGCAAUGGGCGAAAGCCUGACGGAGCAACGCCGCGUGAGUGAUGAAGGUCUUCGGAUCGUAAAACUCUGUUAUUAGGGAAGAACAAAUGUGUAAGUAACUAUGCACGUCUUGACGGUACCUAAUCAGAAAGCCACGGCUAACUACGUG
rnacentral:rRNA from 1 species